rnacentral:rRNA from 1 species
GACGAACGCUGGCGGCGUGCUUAACACAUGCAAGUCGAGCGGUAAGGCCCUUUCGGGGGUACACGAGCGGCGAACGGGUGAGUAACACGUGGGUGACCUGCCCUCAGCUCUGGGAUAAGCCUGGGAAGCCGGGUCUAAUACUGGAUAUGACUCCAUGACGCAUGUUGUGGGGUGGAAAGCCUUGUGCGGCUGAGGAUGGGCCCGCGGCCUAUCAGCUUGUUGGUGGGGUGAUGGCCUACCAAGGCGACGACGGGUAGCCGGCCUGAGAGGGCGACCGGCCACACUGGGACUGAGACACGGCCCAGACUCCUACGGGAGGCAGCAGUGGGGAAUCUUGCGCAAUGGGCGAAAGCCUGACGCAGCGACGCCGCGU